GAUGAUGAAGAUGAAGAUGAUGAAGAUGAUGAAGAUGAUCACACGCAGUAGAGAGUAAAAAAAGCGCUCGGACUCUUCCAGUGAAGAGAGAAAGCAGCGCGGCGGCAGUAACGGGCUGCAGGUGCUGAUCCUGGCUUCCAUUUACAAAACAGCAGGAGGUGAACAACUCUCCUACUCAUUAACUCUCUCUCUCUCUCUCUCUCUCUCUCUCUCUCUCUCUCACACACACUCACACACACACACACACACACUUUUACAUGCAUAAAAUCACACACAUACACAGAGGUAAAAAGUCAAACACACUUCUGUUUGCAUUAUUUCAACUUUAUUAAAGAUUCUGUCACACACACACACAGAGCCUGGAGACAACUGUCAAACACAGUAGAACAGGAGACGGGACUCAUCUACUGAUCCUGAGAGAGAGAGAGAGAGACAGAGAGAGAGAGAGACAGAGAGACAGAGACAGACACAGAGAGAGAGAGAGAGAGACAGAGAGAGAGAGAGACAGAGAGAGAGAGAGACAGAGAGAGAGAGAGAGAGACAGAGAGAGAGAGACAGAGAGAGAGAGAGAGAGAGAGAGACAGAGAGAGAGAGACAGAGAGAGAGAGAGACAGAGAGAGAGAAACAGAGAGAGAGAGAGACAGAGAGAGAGAGAUUGGUAAAAAAACAACAACAGUUUGUUAAAGACACUAAUUGUAGAUUCAUUUUUGUUUGUACUUAAGUGUGUGUCUAUGUGUGUGUGUAUAUAUAUAUACACACACACACACACACACACACACACACACACAUAUACACACAGUAUCUCACAGAAGUGAGUGCACCCCUCACAUGUGUGUAAAUAUGUGAUGAUAUCUUGUCAUGUGACGCACUGAAGAAAUGACACUGUGCUACAGUGUAAAGUAGUGAGUGUACAGCUUGUGUAACAGUGUCAAUGUGCCGUCCCCUCAAAAUAACUCAACACACAGACAUUAAUGUCCAAACCGCUGGCAACAAAAGUGAGUACACCCCUAAGUGAAAAUGUGAAUGGGGAGCAGGUGUGUUAAAUUUGGUGUCAUCGCUCUCACACUCCCUCAUACUGGUCACUGGAAGUUCAACAUGGCACCUCAUGGCAAAGAACUCUCUGAGGAUCUGAAAAAAAGAGUUGUUGCUCUACAUAAAGAUGGCCUAGGCUAUAAGAAGAUUGCCAAGACCCUGACACUGAGCUGCAGCACGGUGGCCAAGACCAUACAGCGGUUUCACAGGACAGGUUCGACUCAGAACAGGCCUCGCCAUGGUCGACCAAAGAAGUUGAGUGCACGUGCUCAGCGUCAUAUCCAGAGGCUGUGUUUGGGAAAUAGACGUAUGAGUGCAGCCAGCAGUGCUGCAGAGGUUGAAGGGGGGGGGGGUCAGCCUGUCAGUGCUCAGACCAUACGCCGCACACGGCAUCAAACUGGUCUGCAUGGCUGUCGUCCCAGAAGGAAGCCUCUUCUAAAGAUGAUGCACAAGAAAGCCCACAAACAGUUUGCUGAAGACAAGCAGAAUAAGGACAUGGAUUACUGGAACCAGGUCCUGUGGUCUGAUGAGACCAAGAUCAACUUAUUUGGUUCAGAUGGUGUCAAGCGUGUGUGGGGAAACCAGGUGAGGAGUACAAAGACAAGUGUGUCUUGCCUACAGUCAAGCAUGGUGGUGGGAGUGUGAUGGUCUGGGGCUGCAUGAGUGCUGCGGCACUGGGGAGCUACAGUUCACUGAGGGAACCAUGAAUGCCAACAUGUAUGUAUGUGUAUGUGUGGGUGUAUAUAUAUAUAUAUGUAUGUAUGUAUGUAUGUAUGUAUGUAUGUAUGUAGGUAUGUAUGUGUGUAUGUGUGUGUGUGUGUGUGUGUGUGUGUGUGUGUGUGUGUGUGUGUGUGUGUGUAUAUGUGUGUGUUACCUUCACCAUGUGUCCAGGUAGCAGGUACGGUGAACUGAAGUCGUGUUUGCAGUUGGAACACGCCAUGCCCAUCCCCAUUCCUGCUCCAAACACUAUGGG